rnacentral:rRNA from 1 species
ACGGCUCAGUAACACGUGGCCAAUCUACCCUUCGGAGAGCGAUACCCUCGGGAAACUGAGGUUAAUAGCCCAUAACACACUUCAGCUGGAAUGAGAGGUGUGUCAAACGCUCCGGCGCCGAAGGAUGAGGCUGCGGCCGAUUAGGUAGACGGUGGGGUAACGGCCCACCGUGCCGAUAAUCGGUACGGGUCAUGAGAGUGAGAACCCGGAGACGGAAUCUGAGACAAGAUUCCGGGCCCUACGGGGCGCAGCAGGCGCGAAACCUUUACACUGCACGCCAGUGCGAUAAGGGGAUCCCAAGUGCGUAGGCAUAGAGCCUACGCUUUUGUGAACCGUAGGGAGGUUCACGAAUAAGGGCUGGGCAAGACCGGUGCCAGCCGCCGCGGUAAUACCGGCAGCCCGAGUGAUGGCCGAUUUUAUUGGGCCUAAAGCGUCCGUAGCUGGCCGCGUGUGUCCAUCGGGAAAUCUCUCCGCUCAACGGAGAGGCGUCCGGUGGAAACUGCGUGGCUUGGGACCGGAAGGCGCGACGGGUACGUCCGGGGUAGGAGUGAAAUCCUGUAAUCCUGGACGGACCACCGAUGGCGAAAGCACGUCGCGAGGACGGAUCCGACAGUGAGGGACGAAAGCUAGGGUCUCGAACCGGAUUAGAUACCCGGGUAGUCCUAGCCGUAAACGAUGCCUGUUAGGUGUGGCUCCCACUACGAGUGGGUGCUGUGCCGUA